rnacentral:rRNA from 1 species
AACGAACGCUGGCGGCAUGCCUAACACAUGCAAGUCGAACGAGACCUUCGGGUCUAGUUGCGCACGGGUGCGUAACGCGUGGUAACCUGCCCUUAGGUUCGGAAUCACUCCCCGAAGGGUGUGCUAAUACCGGAUAAUGUCUUCGGACCAAAGAUUUAUCGCCAUUGGAUGGGCGCGCGUUGGUUUAGCUAGUUGGUAGUGUAAAAGCCUACCAAGGCGACGAUGCAUAGCUGGUCUGAGAGGAUGAUCAGCCACACUGGGACUGCGACACGGCCCAGAAUCCUACGGGAGGCAGCAGUGGGGAAUAUUGGACGAUGGGCGAAAGCCUGAUCCAGCAAUGCCGCGUGAGUGAUGAAGGCCUUAGGGUUGUAAAGCUCUUUUACCCGGGAUGAUAAUGACAGUAACGGGAGAAUAAGCUCCGGCUAACUACGUG